UGAUGGGAAAUAUAUAACACCUGAGCAUACAUUCUUUUAGUAAUCUCAACCUGCCAAAAUAUAACAUAUAGGCAAUUCAAAAAAUCUGUUUUUUUUAAGCAGUUGAUAUUUUAGUUUUCAGUUAUCUUUUUCUCUUGCAAGCCUAUAAAAAUGAUGACACACUUGUUCUCUGAACUAAUGUUGUUCCUCUCUAUCCGACCCUCAUGUAUUGACCUGGUGUCAAGUUUUUUUUCCCGACUGAUGUUUUGGGAUUUUCCUGGCAGAGAUAUAAUUUUGUCUUUUCGAUAGGCAGGAACCAAGGCGCCUAGACAGCCAUGGCAUGAUUUGCAUUGCAAGAUCGAAGGACCUGCCGCAUAUGAUGUACUCACAAACUUUGAGCAGCGGUGGAGAAAAGCCACAAAAUGGUCAGAGUUUGGAAGACGUUUGAAAAAGAUAUCUCAUUGGCACGACGAUGCUUUGAUCAAAAUAGAAAGAAUUUCUUGGAUUACAAGUCCUUCCUCCUCUGUUCCAAAUGAUGACCAAUCUUUGUGGGUUUCCAAAGAAGACGAUCCUGAAAACUGGCAUGUUCAGGUUCGUAGGAACUAACGUUUUUCUUCACAAAGGAAAAUAUUGAGUCAUUGAUUAGAUUUAACUAAGUUACAGCUAACACUAUGUUGUUUGAAUGCUUACAGGUCUUUCGAUCUAUUGACUCAGGGUCCUUGAAAGGAUUUCCAAAAGAUGUUCUUUUGGCUGAAUCACAGGUGCAUACUCUCGUAGCUUCUUGUUUCUUGAAGUCCAUACUGAAAGUUGAAUGUCACAUGCCAUCUUUAUAUAACGUUGGUUUUGAAUUUGCUUAACUUUCUAAAAGGUCCUUGACAUUUUUCAUUGCAGAACCUUGUCUGUGCAAAAAAUUUGGUGAUUGAUAGAAGCAUCCAGAUGGCAUAUAUUCAAGCAAUUAGACAGGCACAGCAUUUUAUCUAUAUUGAAAAUCAAUAUUUCCUUGGGUCAUCAUAUGCUUGGCCUUCAUACAAAGAAGCAGGUUUAUCAUCUUUAUUCGGAAUGAUUGUUGUUCCUAAUCUAAUUUAGCAUCAUUUAUCUUCUUCUGUGCUUUUGGAUUGUCAAAGGAAAGAAAGAACCAUAACUGCCUUGAGAUAUAAUACAAAUCCAAUGUCUCUGACUAAUGGAGGUUUUUCUCAUUUUAUGUUUGGUUGGGUUAAAGAGGAGGGUUAGGUGGAAGGUGAAUAAGAUGGAUUGGAAGGAUCAUUUACCUUGUUUAAUCAUAUGAAUAAAUAACAGGGUAAAGUAAAUUUGUAGGCCAUGGUACCCUGCUACUUCAGAAGUUGUGAUGCCUUCAGUUUUGGAGAGAAAUAUUGUGAUUUUGAUCACAAAUAGUUAAAUUACCCUCAUGAUUCAAAUCCCCCUCUUCAUAAAAAGAUAGGUGAUUUCUUCCCAUUUGUUUACGCAUUGGUGGAUAGAGUUAGUUGGUACUUGUGCUGGUGAGGUACCAGAGGAUUAGUCAAGAUUUUUACUUGUACAUUCAUUUAAACUUAAUAUGGAGAAUAACCCCUUUUAAGUGAACAAUGGUAAUCCACUUCUUUCCCCUACAUUUUAACCAAACAAAGUGUUAAAGACAUACUAUGAGUCGAAAUUCAUCAUUGCAUGCCUAUUGUUUUUUCACCCAAUAAUGUCCAUUAACAUGAAUCAUAUUAGAAAAACAUGAAUCAUCUCUACUCAAGGAGUUGUACCUUAAUGAGGCUGUUUGGUCACCUAGACUACGCCAGUGAAGAGCGGUUUCCUUGGUUCUGUGUGCAACUCUUUUUGGCUCCAUCUUUUUUUGUUCCCUCACAAGUGUUUGCUUGUACUUUAGGUGCUGAUAAUUUAAUUCCCAUGGAGCUUGCAUUAAAAAUAGCCAGCAAAAUUCGGGCAAAAGAGCGAUUUGCUGUUUAUAUUGUCAUUCCAAUGUGGCCCGAGGGAGUCCCCACUUCUGCCUCAGUGCAAGAAAUUCUGUAUUGGCAGGUUAUGCAGCAUACUAUUCUUUAAAUGUCAGCAUUGUGUGUACUUCUUGAGUAUUGUAAUCAAUAAAAUAAGAAUGUGAUUUAACUUGAUUGAUGAAAAGAGUGAUACACAUUGUUCAACUUUUCAGAUUACAGUGCAUGAUUUGGUAUUUCUUGCCCCUAACACGGGGAUAAGUGAGCGAAAUGUGAUAAUCUAAUUAGUUUGGUGGAUAAUUGAAUAUUUUGAGAAUAUAUCUACUUGUAGAGGUCCUCCUUUAAGUUUGGUGCUCCUCCUCUUUUAGUUGUUUCUCUGUUUUUUCUUCUCUUUUGGAUGUGAUCAACACUUUCUUAGUUCUAUUGCCAUUUCCAAAAAAGAAAAGAAAAAGUCCUUUUUGUUGCUGAAGGCUACUGACAAUUCCAUUACAGUUCUUGUACUUCAGUUUUACUUCGUUUAAUAUGUUGAGUUUGUUGUAGUUUGAUGCCAGCAACGGGUGAUAUGCCUAUCAAAGAUUAUUCUCAGUUACUAAGAGACUAUCUCUUUUGCUGCUAUUCUCAUUAUUGUGUUUCUCUUGCAGAGGCAAACUAUGAAAAUGAUGUAUGGAAUCAUCGCUCAAGAGCUAAAAUCUUCUCAACUUCAAGAUGUACAACUUUCUGACUACUUAAACUUCUAUUGUCUGGGCAAUCGAGAAGAAUUACGUGGAGAAUCAAAGUCUAACUAUGCUUCAAAUGGCGAUUUGGUAGGAAUCUUUAUUCUCAUUAUAUCUGCUAAUUGUUAUGCUACCCUUUCGCUAAACAAUGCUUUAAAAUCUACCUGAUGUUUUUUGGAAUUAAAUGUGGUUCGAUAUACUUAAGGAUACCCUCUUUUCCUUCAGUUCGGCUACUUGUCUAACUAUAUGUGCUUGACUGUGAAUUUCUGAUCAUUGAAACAAUCUUUUAAGCAAAAGUUUGAAACGUGUUUGUCACUUUAUAUACUCUGUACGCACAAGUAUCUAUGCUAGUUUUCUGGAUUAAAAGAAAUAAAACUAUUCUAACUAGUGAAUGGAACAUUGGAACUAGAUUUACUUUUCUGUAAUUUGAUCAUUUCAUGACAUUGGCUGAGUCACAUCAAGUCAUCUGUACUACAUUAUAAACCAAGAGAAUAUCUUUAACAACAUUUGACAAGUUAUAGGAACUGCCUCUCAAAUAUUUCCGAAGAACUAAUAGAGUAGCACAGUAGUAUUUGGAUCUAUUUUUUCUUUUGUAUGUUAAAUAUGAUAGAAGUACACCAAAUUGGUGUGAUUUACAAAAGAAAUCACAAAAGAUUCAGAUAUGGUUGUAUGAAUCUUUUGAAAAUCCUACACUAUUUCAUUAUAGAUAUCCUUGUAUGUCCUUUUCUUACUUGAGCCGAGGAUCUACCGAAAAGAGCCUCUCUACCUUCACAAGUUAGGGGUAAGGCUGUGUUGUUGUUGUUGUUAUAGAUAGACUUGUAAGUGCACAUAAUGAUGAGGACUAAUUUUGCCAUGAAACUGCCAUCAGAUUUCAGCUUCACAGAAAUUUGGACGGUUUAUGAUUUAUGUACAUGCCAAGGGGAUGAUAGUGGAUGAUGAGUAUGUCAUUUUAGGAUCUGCCAAUAUUAACCAAAGAUCUAUGGCUGGUUCAAGAGACACAGAGAUAGCUAUGGGUGCAUAUCAACCUCAUCACACUUGGGCUAUGAAGAAAAGGCAUCCACAUGGCCAGGUCCGUGAAUCUCCUUCCCCUAAUAAAGCAAACUAGAACAUUAUCAUUUUGAUCAAAACUAUCAAAUCUUAACCAAUAGCAGGAAAUUUUUUGUUAAUCAUGCUACCAUGUCUAUAAAAGGAUCUUCUUGACAACUACAACUACAUGAAGAGGCGGAUAGAUCUUCUAUUUGAUGUGUUGAACUGAACUCAGUAUUUUCAACACUGAACUUAGAUAUUGAUGUGAAAAAAAAUCAGUAACAUUGCAAUAAAUAUUACCUUCUAAACACCUAAAUGCUGAAAUCACAUUUGAAUUCUGGAUCCGCCUUUGGCUGCAGGUAUAUGGUUAUAGAAUGUCUCUAUGGGCAGAGCACAUGGGCAAGUUAGACGAUAUCUUCACAAAGCCAGAAAGUUUGAACUGCGUGAAGCAUGUAAAUGAGGUUGCUGAAGAUAACUGGAAUAGAUUUACAGCUGACGAAUUCAAACCUUUACAAGGUCAUCUUCUCAAGUAUCCAGUCCAAGUAGGUACUGAUGGGAAAGUAAAUUCCUUGCCUGGUCAUGAAUAUUUUCCUGAUGUUGGUGGUAAAAUACUAGGAGCUCGAACCAAUCUUCCUGAUGCUUUAACCACAUAACUCUUCCCGUCUUCCGGUUUUGUAA
rnacentral:lncRNA from 1 species